AUAUCACUACCCCUAACCUUAUCCAUCUCCUAUCCUCCUCCCUCGCUCGUGGCUGCUCGAACCCAUAGAGUGUCGCCUGGCUCCUCUCCCACGAAAACCUAGGGGCGGCGGCAGCCGGCUACUGGCGGCGGCGGCGGACUGCGGGAGGCCAUCCAGGCGGCGGACCGGCAAGAGGCGCACCUGUGUUGCCCCGUCCGGCACCGACGGUAGCGGGAGGAGGCAGCCUGGCCCGAGCGCGAGGGUGCGCGGCCCCGGGCGCGCGCGUUGAAGCCCCAAUGCCGGGCACGAGCCCAGCGUAGGGGGCGCGGGUUCCAGACCCGAUGCCAGGCGCGGCCCCAACGCAGGUGGCACGGGUUCCAGCCCCAACACCUCCACUGCUCCCACAUGAGCACAAGGACAGCGAGGGAGAGCGCAACACCAAGACCAUGGAAGAGGCUAGGCCAAAUCACAGGGAUUUGCAACUUGUUGCUAGAGUUUGUUCGUUUUUCAGCUUGCCUGAUGGGGCCCAAAGUCAUGGCUGCAGGGUAAAACAUUACCACGACAAGUUGUUGACACACAUAACUAUGGGCUGAUGCAGUUAGUUAACUUCAUAGCUGUACACUACAUGUGGGGUUCAAAGCAAUAUAUAUCUUUGUGGCGUGAGUUGGACAAUGACUCUAUUAAGAUAAAAUAUGAUGAACAUCUGUCUGAAUGGUUUGAACUCAAUCUAGAGAAUGGAGCCCAGAUAAAUGAUUUUUAGGGCCCAUUGCAGUUUUCUCCAAUGAAACGUAGGUGCCACCCUUCUCUAAGGAAGACUACCCACAAAUGAGACAGCCACAAGUGAGAUACCUGCAAAUGUGAGAGCCACAAGUGAAACAGCCACAAAUGUGAGAGCCAAAUCCACAUCUAAAAAGAAGAGAGCCACAUAUGAGAGGGUAGAAGUUCAUGAGGAGGACGGCAUGUACUCAGACACACAUUCACUUCUAGCACAAGUGAUAGAAGCUAUGACACUAAUUUGGCUGCAUCUUCAUGCUCUAACGAUUCUAACCCUGAAUUUGAUCCUGAUGGUUAAAUAGUUGAUGAGGAUUGAUCCUCCUCCAUUUUCAUAUGAUGUUGAUGAUCCAUGUAUUGAUGUUAAUGUGGUGUUCCCAGAUGUGGACACCAAUGCAAAUCAGUGGUUACCCAUCAUGCUAUCUUGAAUGAUCAUGCUUUUGAGAUCGUGAAAAAGGAUAAGAGCAGAUUUAGAGCAAUCUGCAAGAGAGCUGAACAGGGCUGCAAUUGGAAGUUUUAUGCUUCAACAAGCAAGAAUUACAUUGGAUGCAAGGUUAAGACAAGUGGACCAAAGCAUACUUGUGGUUCAGUCAACAACUAUGGUGAUACAAUGGCCUCAAAGAAAUGGGUAGCUGAUAGAGUGGUCGACUUGUUACGGGAAGAACCUGAAAUGGGACAAAGGGAGUUGCAGGAUAGGUUAAAGAAGAAGUACUCCAUUGAAGUUCCAUAUUAUAGAGUUGUUAGAGGCAAGAUGAGAGCGUUGGACAUGAUAUAUGGAAAGUGGGAUGACAGCUAUGAUUUGCUACCCACAUAUCAAGAUGAGCGGUUGAGAUUUGUUCCUAGUAGUAUUGUUGAGCUAGACACUGAAGACCACAAUGGUGAUGUGUGUUUCACAAGGUUCUUUGUUGCUCUUAAGCCAUGCAUUGAUGGAUUUUUGCAAGGAUGCAGGCCCUACAUUGCCAUGGAUGCCACUCAUCUUACAGGAAGGUCAAGAGGUCAGUUAGCAGCAGCUGUGGCGGUGGAUGGUCAUAACUGGCUAUUUCUAGUGGCAUAUGGAGUGAUUGAGACCGAGUCCAAGGAUAAUUGGACUUGGUUUAUCAACAACUUGAAGAAUGCAAUUGGUCAUCCUACGGGUUUGAUCAUUAGUACAGAUGCCGGCAAAGAGAUAGAGGGGGUUGUAGAAGAUGUAUACCUAGGACUGGAACAUAGAUAGUACAUGAGGCAUUUGUGGAAGAAUAUGAAGAAGAAUGGAUUCCAUGGUGUCUUUAUGGUAAGAAUAUGUGGGCAGCAGCAAAGAGCUUCACAACUGACAAGUUCAACUACUUCAUGUCAAAGAUAGAGGAGAAAGAUCCCAAUGCAGUUGCAUGGUUGGAUGAAAAUCAUCCAUAUGUGUGGAGUAGAAGCAAAUUCAGCAAGGAUGCAAUAUAGAUUACAUCAACAACAACCUCUCUGAAUUUCAAUAGUUGGGUGUCUAAAUGCAAGUAUUUUCAAAUUGUAGACAUGCAUGAUAGGAUAAGACAGAUGAUCAUUGAGAAAUUUGUUUUGAGAGAUAAAAUUGCUAGAAAAAUGUCUGGAAUAAUCAUCCCUUCUAUUACUAAUGCUCUAAAUGCUAAAUCCAAGACUAUCAAGGAUCAUGAGGUACUAAUAUGUGGGGUUGGGACAGUUGUAGUAACUGUGAACAGAUUUAGGCAUGUUGUAAACUUGGAGCAAAAGACAUGUAGUUGUAGGGCUUGGCAAGUUACUGGAAAGCCAUAUAGCCAUACUUUAGCUUUCAUUGCAAAACUAAGUAGGCAUGUGCAAAUGGAUGCCUUUGUCCAUGAAUACUUCUCUGUUGAGAGGUUCAGAAAGGCAUAUGCAAGUACUUUCAAUCCAAUGACAUCCAAGGACAGCUGGCCACGUGUUGAUUUGGGCUACAAAAUUAAGAAGCCCAAGUUAAGAAGGAAACCUGGGAGACCAAGAAAAUCUAGGAUCAAAGUAUAUGAUGAGGCUAGCACUAGUAAGAGAAAGAGACCAUGUUCUUAAUGUCAUGAUCUAGAUCAUACAGCCAAGCAUUGCCAAGGAGGUCCUACUACUAGUCAAAAGAGAAAGCUAUCAUCUUCACAAAAUGGAUCGUAGUCAAAGAGAAAGCUACCAUCCUCACAAAAUGGAUCAUAAGGGAGCAAUGACCCAAAUGUAGCACAAGCAUCAAUGUGAGUCAUGGAUUGAUACUCAUUUCACAAAAUGGAUCAUGAGGGAGCAAUGACCCAAAUGUAGCACAAGCAUCAAAGUCAUGGAUUGAUACUCAUUUCAAUUUAUUUGCUUAUUUAUUCAUUUCUGUACCACCAACUUGUUUAAUAACACACUUUUACUCUUGUCAUAUGAAGUGCAAGUGCAACAAGAACUAGAAGGGGAAGGUGAACUGGAAGGGGAAGGGAGAGGAGCAGGUGCAGGCUCAGAUGCAGGUGGAAGAGCAAGAGGAAGAGGAGGAAACUCAAGAAGCUUGGCUGCAUUGCUAGGCAGAGAUGCUUGAGUGUCAUGUUUUCCAUUUGCUAUGUACAUUCUGUACUAGUUGGGAUGGCACGUGAACUUGUUGGGUUGUAACCUGAACAUGAUGGGAUGACAUGUGAACUUAGGUUGUGGUAUGGACAUGAUGGGAUGAAAUGUGAACAUCCAGUGGUUUUGUUGUCCAAUACAUGUGAUCUGGUGCUUUAUGUUGGACAUAUGUGUCAUCUGGUGCUUUAUGUUGGUCUAAUAUAUGUGAUCUGGUGCUUUUUCUGUCAAA